AGAAUGUUUGUAGAGGGGGGUAGAGAUUGAGAGAGAAGGAACAGGAGAAUGUUUGUAGGUAGGGGGUAGAGAUUGAGAGAGAAGGAACAGGAGAAUGUUUGUAGGUAGGGGGUAGAGAUUGAGAGAGAAGGAACAGGAGAAUGUUUGUAGGUAGGGGGUAGAGAUUGAGAGAGAAGGAACAGGAGAAUGUUUGUAGGUAGGGGUAGAGAUUGAGAGAGAAGGAACAGGAGAAUGUUUGUAGGUAGGGGGUAGAGAUUGAGAGAGAAGGAACAGGAGAAUGUUUGUAGGUAGGGGGUAGAGAUUGAGAGAGAAGGAACAGGAGAAUGUUUGUAGGUAGGGGGUAGAGAUUGAGAGAGAAGGAACAGGAGAAUGUUUGUAGGUAGGGGGUAGAGAUUGAGAGAGAAGGAACAGGAGAAUGUUUGUAGGUAGGGGGUAGAGAUUGAGG